UAGUUCCUCUCAUCUUGGAGAUGGAAGGUGAAUCUAGUUCCUCUCAUCUUGGAGAUGGAAGGUUAAUGUGUAGUUCCUCUCAUCUUGGAGAUGGAAGGUUAUGUGUAGUUCCUCUCAUCUUGGCAAUGGAAGGUGAAUCUGUAGUUCCUCUCAUCUUGGAGAUGGAAGGUGAAUCUGUACUUCCUCUCAUCUUGGCGAUGGAAGGUGAAUCUGUACUUCCUCUCAUCUUGGAGAUGGAAGGUGAAUCUAGUUCCUCUCUUCUUGGAGAUGGAAGGUUAAUCUGUAGUUCCUCUCAUCUUGGCAAUGGAAGGUGAAUCUGUAGUUCCUCUCAUCUUGGAGAUGGAAGGUGAAUCUGUAUUUCCUCUCAUCUUGGCGAUGGAAGGUGAAUCAGUAGUUCCUCUCAUCUUGGAGAUGGAAGCUGAAUCUAGUUCCUC
rnacentral:lncRNA from 1 species